rnacentral:rRNA from 1 species
UACGUAGGGUGCAAGCGUUAUUCGGAAUUACUGGGCGUAAAGCGCGCGUAGGCGGUUUUUUAAGACAGAGGUGAAAUCCCCGGGCUCAACCUGGGAACUGCCUUUGUGACUGCAAGGCUUGAGGGCAGCAGAGGGUGGUGGAAUUCCGGGUGUAGUGGUGAAAUGCGUAGAUAUUCGGAGGAACACCAGUGGCGAAGGCGGCCGCCUGGGCUGUACCUGACGCUCAAACACGAAAGCUAGGGGAGCGAACGGG